GUUUGAAUUCUGACAAAACAAUAAACAACCCUUAUUAUGGGUUCUUAUAAAUUUUACUACAAUUUUUCUCCCUUUCUCUUCUAGUGAUUUAGCGCGAGCCGGCAAGACAUAGAAGAGCCAUGAGUGACUAAGGAUCCAUUUGUGCUGAUUGAGGAGUUGCACAAACAGCCACAUUUCAGCACCGAGGGACAAAUGCCACUAUUACUUACAAAGUUAGGAGGAGAAGGUCAUUUCACCGUAGCUUUGGCAACCUGCCAGCCUGUCCUUGUGUAUCCUCUAGCAGUCUCCACACUCCAAGGAGUCCUCUUAACAGGUAUGCUGUUGGCUACCAACUGGUGUGCCUCUCUUCUCCACAGUCGCAGGGAUGCGGCACUUGAACUCUCAGACAAAAUCCCCAGAAAGUUCCUCCCUCAGCCAUCUGGGCAUGAGCUUGCAGCAGGUCCCUGGCGCAGCCUACGGCUUACUCUUUCUUCUGGUUGGUGCCAUCUCAUUUGUACCCCUCUCAAACAUCCCUACAGCAUCCACCAUUUCCUUAUAGCAUGGCCUGCCUAACCCUUUGGGUUUGUUGUACAAGUCCUCUUUGGGACACCAAACUUUAAUUGCCAGGGUCACCAGAUACACUGAACUCUUCUGGCCCAGUGACCUGUAGAAGAUGCCAGGCGAGAUCCUGCCCACUAUGAAAAGAAAACAAGGGGCUUUUAGAAAGGGACACAGUGAGUGAAGCUAUGUAUCAGAGGGUGGAUUUGGAGUGAAAAUCCAAGUAUGGCAGAGGAGAAGGGACUUUAUUGUAGAUAUGAGCCAGGCUAUAAGAUGAGAAAGAGGUGUGUGUGUGUGGGGGGUAUGGGGUACAUGCCAGCUAGGUUUGUACAGUGACAGAUCAUUUCCCAGGUCUUAAGUAAAGUCCCA
rnacentral:lncRNA from 1 species